GCAUUACUGAUGAGACCUAACCAGGUCGAAACAUCUGUCCAAUAC
rnacentral:hammerhead_ribozyme from 1 species